rnacentral:rRNA from 1 species
GACGAACGCUGGCGGCGUGCUUAACACAUGCAAGUCGAACGGAAAGGCCUCUUUCGGGGGGUACUCGAGUGGCGAACGGGUGAGUAACACGUGAGUAACCUGCCCUUGACUUUGGGAUAACUUCAGGAAACUGGGGCUAAUACCGGAUAGGAGCUCCUGCUGCAUGGUGGGGGUUGGACAGUUUCGGCGGUUGGGGAUGGACUCGCGGCUUAUCAGCUUGUUGGUGGGGUAGUGGCUUACCAAGGCUUUGACGGGUAGCCGGCCUGAGAGGGUGACCGGCCACAUUGGGACUGAGAUACGGCCCAGACUCCUACGGGAGGCAGCAGUGGGGAAUAUUGCACAAUGGGUGGAAGCCUGAUGCAGCAACGCCGUGUGCGGGAUGACGGCCUUCGGGUUGGAAACCGCUUUCGCUCAUGACGAAGCUUUGUGUGACGGUAGUGGGCAAAGAAGCACCGGCUAACUACGUG